GUGGGGAAUAUUGCACAAUGGGGGAAACCCUGAUGCAGCGACGCCGCGUGAGCGAUGAAGUAUUUCGGUAUGUAAAGCUCUAUCAGCAGGGAAGAUAAUGACGGUACCUGACUAAGAAGCUCCGGCUAAAUACGUGCCAGCAGCCGCGGUAAUACGUAUGGAGCAAGCGUUAUCCGGAUUUACUGGGUGUAAAGGGAGCGUAGGCGGUCCUGCAAGUCUGAUGUGAAAACCCGGGGCUCAACCCCGGGACUGCAUUGGAAACUGUAGGACUAGAGUGUCGGAGGGGUAAGUGGAAUUCCUAGUGUAGCGGUGAAAUGCGUAGAUAUUAGGAGGAACACCAGUGGCGAAGGCGGCUUACUGGACGACCACUGACGCUGAGGCUCGAAAGCGUGGGGAGCAAACAGGAUUAGAAACCCCGGUAGUCC
rnacentral:rRNA from 1 species